rnacentral:lncRNA from 14 species
GUGUGAUAGCCAUGUCCUGGUGCGCACAGUAACUGCUGACCAUCUUUCUCUUCUGUUUCCCAUGUGUCAGAGCUUGGACCUCCCUGGACAAUGGAGUACUUCCCCAUCAGGAGCUGCCACCUUGUCUUUCAGAACAGGUCUGGGAUGUUCUACCUGCCACUGCAUGCUGUUACGUUAAAACCAACAUCUGGUGCAACUGGACCAUCUGGGCAGGCCCCCAGAAGCACAUUGUCAUCUACAUCCAGGGGCUCCAUGGGAGCGAUGGCUGCGGCAAGAACCAGGACAGGAUCAUCUUCCAGGGGAUCUCAUCGAGUGUGGAAACCAAAGUGGUGUAUGCCUGUCAAAACCGAGGCACUCUGAUCUUUGCUACACAAGCUGCUGCAGUCCAUGUGUUGUUUCUGUCAGGGAAUGGUUCCCUAAGGCAUGAAUACAGAUCUUUUAAAGGACAGUAUUAUGUGUUCAGAGACUCUGAAACCAUGGGCUCUUCAAAUGACACCAUAGCUACCAGAGAGCCUGUCCAGGAGACCUCUAAGAAAGAGGGCUGGAAGACAGCAGUGACAAAAGGUCUAUUGCCCAUGCUGAGAGCCUCUGCAAGCCCAUCAGCUACACCUGUUGGUGGCAGGACCCAGCCUGAGCUUGUGAGCACAGAUGAAGAGACCCAACACUCUCCUGAUCUUAGGGAAGAUGCUCAGUAUGGUGCUAACCUCAGUGAGUAUGAUCAGCUGUGGGAUGAAACCAAGCUGCAAAGGAGCCUUGAGGAUAGUGGCACUGAGGGCAGAGAAACUGAAGCUGACAUGUUGGUGGGGCAAGGUGCUGGGUGUAAAGCUGAGCCAUCUGCCUCGGAGGCUGCAAAGGGGGAUGUAGAGUCAGUGUCUGCUCUGAUCACCACAGGUACCCCUUCCUCAGAGGUGCCCAGCAGCAGUGCAGGUCUCCUUGUCAAAUCAUGUAUCCUGGAUGAGGCCAGCAGCAGCCUGUCAGAUGGAGUGGCUGCUGCUGCAUGUCUCACACAGACACCAGCGCUGGAAGAGCCACUGCUAAACACAAGUACAAAGCCUCCUGUCUACCCCUCUCCUGGUGUGAAUGCUGGAGAUGCAGUGUCUCUGGGAGAAAGCAUGGAAGAGCUCUUUGAUCUGGCUUCUGUCCUGGCAUCUCUGGAGAACAGCACAGCACUGCAAUCCCAGCACCAUCCCGGAGUAGAUAUGCUGUUUGAAGUAACUGUUGAAAUCAAACCCAAGGACUGGAUUUCUCAUGGUGGAAGUGAGCUCCAAAAGGGUCUUCUCGAAUCUAUGAAGAACCAUAUCCAGGAGAACCUGAAACUUCCUGCCAGCAGAGUCAAUGAACUAAAGCUAAAAGAAAUCAAAAGGACAAGUGAUGCCAACCUGCUGCUCACCUUCUGGCUGCAUCUGAAGCUGGAGGAGAGGAACAUGUCUCUGCUCCUGCACUCCCAGCUGGAGGAGCUCCUUGGCUCCUCAGCAGGAGCAGAGAAGCUGCAUCUUGUUUCACUAUUUGUUGAAGAUGUGAAUGAGUGCAGUGCUGGGGUUGGACUCUGCGGGGAGGAGGCAGAGUGCUUCAAUGGUGUGGGCACGUACCUCUGCCGCUGCAAGAAGGACUAUGAAGACCAUUCCCCCACCAAGUCUGGCACCCUCUGCAUCCCUGCUGCACAAUCAGCUGAAGGAGCCCUGCUUUGCCUCAUGAACACCGGCUGGCUUUAGGAACAGCCCAUCCCUCCCCUCCUUUCCUGCUCUCCCGAGUCAGAUCAAGAGAGGCUGAAUUUCUUCCCUCCCUCUGCUGCAGGCCAGGGCAUUGGCAUCUGCCCUUCACCCUCACCUGUGGUAGAAUG